rnacentral:rRNA from 1 species
UGAGGAAUCUUGCGCAAUGGGGGAAACCCUGACGCAGCAAUGCCGCGUGAGUGAAGAAGGCCUUCGGGUCGUAAAGCUCUGUCAGGCGGGAAGAAUAGCUUGAGGGUGAAUAACCUUCAGGUGUGACGGUACCGCCGAAGGAAGCACCGGCUAACUCCGUGCCAGCAGCCGCGGUAAGACGGAGGGUGCAAGCGUUAUUCGGAUUCAUUGGGCGUAAAGAGCGUGUAGGCGGCCGGGCAAGUCAGAGGUGAAAGCCCAGGGCUCAACCCUGGAAGUGCCUUUGAAACUGCUUGGCUUGAGUUCGGGAGAGGGAAGUGGAAUUCCUGGUGUAGAGGUGAAAUUCGUAGAUAUCAGGAGGAACACCGGUGGCGAAGGCGACUUCCUGGACCGAAACUGACGCUGAGACGCGAAAGCGUGGGGAGCAAACAGG